GGGAUAGAAUGUUGACCAUGCAGAGAACAUUUUCUUUGAAUGCUUAGGUUAGGAACAUUUUCUUUGAACAAUAAGGCUAACCUGUGGAGAUAAGGAGAUCAAGGAUUUGGUGGAACACAUUUUGUAGAACCAUCUUAAAAAUACAGUUGAUAAAAUUUCUAAAUGAAGACCAAGAUAAAGGGAACAAGAUCAGAAAACGUCAUCCUCACAGAAAUUAUUAAGAAUCCACACACCAUGUGAAAUGAGCUAAUCCUGGAAGCAUUUCUAGAAGUCAUGGCUGUGCAGGAUAAUUUUGAGGGAAACUCUCCAUUAAAUCCAGGUCCCGACUUCCUGGGGAAAGCACACCAUUUCAGCAGGAAGCUCUAUGCAAAUUGGGUUGAAGCCCUAAAAAAAGAAAGAAGGAAAAGGAAAAAGGAAGUCUGUAGGAGGUCGUCAGUCUCGGUUGUUAUGGGCCCAGACUCUGGAGUCUGCUAG
rnacentral:lncRNA from 1 species